AAAUAAUCAUUUCAAGAAAUUUUUUGUAUUUGUUUAUAUGCAGGUAUAAUAUGUUGCUAGCUAAUGCAUCUUGUACUUGGAGAAUUGAAUGAUGAUGAGGAGACUUGGUUAAUGUCAUAGUGGAAGAUUGUUUUAAAUUUUAAUAUCAUAUUAUAUUGUGCUCUAUUUAGAAGUUGUGCAUUUAUAUUAGAUAUAUGAAAAUUGUAUUGUUGUUUUUAAGUAUUUGAGUUUGUAUUUUUCGUAUUUUGAUAUCACUAUUAUAUGGCAUGAAUGUUUAAUAUUGUAUUUGAAUAUGUAUUUUGAAUGGUAUGAAUGUUUAAUAUUGUAUUUGAAUAUGUAGUUUGAAAUUUUAAUUUUUUGUAUAAUAUUGUUGGUAGCCUAAUGUCCCGA
rnacentral:lncRNA from 1 species